CCACCUUUUUGUUGCAACUUGCAAGAACCGCGGAGAUAUGCUAUGCCUACUAAUGGAAAAUGCCCGAAAAAAGAAGUGUCAUUUGUUGUCUUGAAUAAAAAGAGGAGGGAAAUCUGAAAAUAUAUACAACUAACAAUCAUUGACAGAAAGAAAACCCUACAUGGACCGGGAAAUUCCACGGAUGAAAAGGCACUUAAUUAAUUAAUCCGGGGAUAUAUCAUUCAUUCAGGGAUGCCGAGAGAGUAAUUAUAUGUACGCGCAGCAUUUUCGGCACCGUUUGGCCCUUGGCAAAGGUAGGUGUAUAAUCACCCGUUGAAGAACUUUACCUUGAGGAUGAAAAGAUGGGUUACUGUGGCUGAAAAAAGAAAAGAAAAGAUGGGUCACUGUGUCAGAUGGGAUUUGAACAGUCUAUUGGAGUGAUGGAAAGGCAUAUGUGUUUGU
rnacentral:lncRNA from 1 species